rnacentral:rRNA from 1 species
GAUGGCUCAGAUUGAACGCUUGGCGGCAUGGCUAAAACAUGCAAGUCGAACGCGAAAAUGGAGCUUGCUCCAUGAGUAGAGUGGCGAAAGGGCGAGUAAUGCGUUCCUAACGUGCCUCGAAGCCAGGGAUAGCCCAGGGAAACCUGGAUUAAUACCUGAUAACCCCGUUGAACCGCAUGAUUUGACGGGCAAAGGCUUGCUACUUCGAGAUCGGGGAACGUGCUAUCAGCUUGUUGGUGAGGUAAAAGCUCACCAAGGCUAAGACGGCUAGCGGGUGUGAGAGCACGGCCCGCCGCAUCGGGACUGAGACACUGCCCGGACUCCUACGGGAGGCUGCAGUAACGAAUAUUCCGCAAUGCGCGAAAGCGUGACGGAGCAAUGCCGCGUGUGGGAUGAAGCAUCUCGGUGUGUAAACCACUGUCAGGGUACAGGAACACAAUGACCAUACCCAAAGGAAGAGCCGGCUAACUCUGUGCCAGCAGCCGCGGUAAUACAGAGGGCUCAAGCGUUAAUCGGAAUUACUGGGCUUAAAGCGUGCGUAGGCGGAAUGGCAAGUGCCUUGUGAAAUCCCACGGCUUAACCGUGGAAUUGCUCGGUAGACUGCCAUUCUUGAGGUCGGUAGAAGUUGUCGGAACUCUAGGUGUGGCGGUGAAAUGCGUAGAUAUCUAGAGGAACGCCCAAGGUGAAGACAGGCAACCGGGCCGAAUCUGACGCUGAGGCACGAAAGCGUGGGUAGCGAACGGGAUUAGAUACCCCGGUAGUCCACGCCCU